AAAAAUAUUUUGUUUUUUAGUAUUUUUGAAUCAAUAUUUUUUAUUUAUAGUUAAUUUUACUGUGAAGGAUUAUUUUUAUUUAUUAAAAAGUAUUUUUUGUUAGAAGUACCUUUUGCAUCAGGGUUUAUUAAAAUAAAAAAAUUAUUUUUUUUUCUCGAAAUUUUAAGAUUUAAGGUUGAAUGUUAGUUUUUGUGAUAAAAAAAUUUAUAAUUCUUCUUUAGAGGUUAUAUACUUUUCAUUUAAAAUAAUAUCUAGUUCAUUAAUAUUUGAAUUUAAUUCAUUUUUGAUAAUGAUUUUUUUUAAUUUUAUUAUUUAAAUUUUAUCAAGAAAAGAUUUAUGGGGAUAAUCUCGUAUUUUUUAUUAAAAAGUUUAUUUUGUUAAAUUCUUUGUAGGAUUAAUAAUUUCCAUCUAUAUUUUGUUAUAAUUAUUUUUUUAUAGUAAUGAUUUUUUAUUCUUUUAAUUUUUUAUUAAUGUUUUACUUAUAAUUUUUUAUAGUAAUUAAUAAUGAUAAAAUUAGUAAUUUUAAUAAUUUAAAAAUAGUAAUUCGGCAAAUUUUAUUUUCACCUGUUUAACAAAAACAUGGUCUUUUGACUUUAAUUUAAGAUCAGGCCUGCCCAUUGAUUUUUUAGAAUUAAAAGGCUGCGGUAUUUUAACUGUACGAAGGUAGCAUAAUCAUUUGUCUUUUAAUUGAAGGCUAGUAUGAAUGGUUUGAUGAAAAAUAGUCUUUCUUUUUUUAAUUAUUUUGAAUUUAAUUUUUUAGUUAAAAAGCUAAAAUUUUUUUAUAGGACGAGAAGACCCUAUAGAAGUUUACUUUAUUUAUUAAUUUUUAUUUUUUGUUUAUUAAAUAAUUUUUUAGAAUAUAAAGUUUUGUUGGGGUGACAUUAAAAUUUAUUUAACUUUUAAUAUUUUUUUUCAUUAAUUUAUGUUUUUUUGAUCCAGAAUUUUUGAUUACAAGAUUAACUUACCUUAGGGAUAACAGCGUAAUCUUUUCGGAGAGUUCAUAUCGAUGAAAAGGUUUGCGACCUCGAUGUUGAAUUAAGAUAAGAUUUGGGUGUAAAAUUUCAUUUUUCUUGGUCUGUUCGACCAUUAAAUUCUUACAUGAUUUGAGUUCAGACCGGCGUGAGCCAGGUCGGUUUCUAUCCUUAUUUUUUGUAAAUUAGUACGAAAGGACCAUUUACAUUAAUUAAAUUAUAAAAUUUUUGAUUAAAAUUAAAAAAAAAAAAAAAAAAA
rnacentral:rRNA from 1 species